GCUUCUUCCACCACGAUAUAGCCUUCGGCUUUGUCAAAGGCUUCGGCGAGACUCUUCGGGUGGUUAAACAUAAGUUUUUUCACCAACUUUUCCGAUUUAACCAGAUCUAGCCCGUUCUGAAACAGUCCCACAGCUUGUAAAUCAUUCAAGUCUGCCACUUGGCCGACUGCUUCCCGGAACCGCUUCACAUACUGGCCCAAAGAUUCAUUAGAAGAUUGCCGAACCUGAGCCAAUGAACCAGUUGGUUUUCCCCUUCUUCUGUUGCUCCCAAAGCGAGCAUGAAACUUGCUGCACAUGUCCUCCCAAGAAGAGAUUGAAUCCGAGGGUAAGGUCCCCAUCCACUG
rnacentral:lncRNA from 1 species